AAUCAUAUGCAAUGGCAAUAUCAUAGCCGAUGAGGGUUUUCUGAGGUGCGAUUACUGCUAGUUGAAUUUUUUUACCUCUAAACUUAUUAGUUAAAUUACUCUUAAAAAGGUAAAAAAAAAUUGUAUACUUUUAUA
rnacentral:snRNA from 1 species